rnacentral:rRNA from 1 species
UACAGAGGGGGCAAGCGUUGUUCGGAAUUACUGGGCGUAAAGGGCGCGUAGGCGGCCUUCUCAGUCGAACGUGAAAUCCCUGGACUCAACCCAGGAACUGCGUCCGAUACUGGGAGGCUUGAAUCCGGGAGAGGGAUGCGGAAUUCCAGGUGUAGCGGUGAAAUGCGUAGAUAUCUGGAGGAACACCGGUGGCGAAGGCGGCAUCCUGGACCGGCAUUGACGCUGAGGCGCGAAAGCCAGGGGAGCAAACGGG